AAGCCUCCCAAGUACUGGGAUUGUAGG
rnacentral:piRNA from 1 species